UAACGAGAUAGAGGUGCAAAAUUCAAAAGUAAAAUUUAUGAGCUCGUCAAGGCUGUGAUUAAAUUUAAAAGGGAAGAUUGCCGAAUUUAUGUAAUUGACAAUUACAUAGGUGGGAUUACAAAUAAUAUUUGUAAUACUGUCAUUAUGAAACAUAAUGUUGUGCUAUUGGUUAG
rnacentral:ncRNA from 2 species